AUCCCCAGAGUGUAGUUCUCCAAUCCCCCAAACAUGAGCCGAAACUUCAUGAAGGUACAUGUUUGGGGGACUGGAGAACUACACUCUGGGGAU